rnacentral:rRNA from 1 species
UACGUAGGGUGCGAGCGUUGUCCGGAAUUAUUGGGCGUAACGAGCUCGUAGGCGGUUUGUCACGUCUGCUGUGAAAUCCCGAGGCUCAACCUCGGGCCUGCAGUGGGUACGGGCAGACUGGAGUCCAGUAGGGGAGCGUGGAAUUCCUGGUGUAGCGGUGAAAUGCGCAGAUAUCAGGAGGAACACCAGCGGCGAAGGCGGCGCUCUGGGCUGGAACUGACGCUGAGGAGCGAAAGCGUGGGGAGCGAACAGG